UCGCGUAUGGCGCUCGCGAGCUUCGUCAAGAACCGCGAAGUUCAGGGCAGCGAGCGCGGUGAUUGUCAUUCGGGAAUGUAAUUACUUAGGAAAUACUUUAUAUAAUACUGUGCAAUGUGAUUUAAUGGAGUAUUCUCUUUGUUUCUCACAAUCCUCCUACGCCUGUGUGGUUGGGCGAAUGCAAAUCGCAAUGGCCAUACCAUUGAACAUGAAUUUUUGAUAACGAAUAUUGUUUUCUAUGGCUGCGCAGAAUUGGAGUCAAGACAAAAAGGGGAAUAAUAAGAAGCAACAUUUAUCAUUUUGAUUAGCAUUUAUGUUUUAAGACAUUUAGGUUGGAUUAAUAAUUACUUAUUUGAAGUGAGAAACAAGCCUGAAAAUAUUGCAAACUGAGUGUAAUAGAAAAAUCAUCAAAAUUAACAAGUGGUGACCUUAACGAAGAAAUCGCCGCCGUCCAAAAUAAAUAAAGGUGACUACUAAUGUCGUGCUUA